GACAGAGGGUGCAAACGUUGCUCGGAAUUACUGGGCGUAAAGCGCGUGUAGGCGGACCUGCAAGUCGGACGUGAAAGCCCUGGGCUCAACCCAGGAACUGCAUCCGAAACUGCGGGCCUGGAGUGGUGGAGAGGGAAGCAGAAUUCCUGGUGUAGCGGUGAAAUGCGCAGAUAUCAGGAGGAACACCGGUGGCGAAGGCGGGUCUCUGGGCCGAUAUUGACGCUGAGGAGCGAAAGCGUGGGGAGCGAACAGG
rnacentral:rRNA from 1 species